GUGCAAUGGCAUAAGCCAGCUUGACUGCGAGCGUGACGGCGCGAGCAGGUGCGAAAGCAGGUCAUAGUGAUCCGGUGGUUCUGAAUGGAAGGGCCAUCGCUCAACGGAUAAAAGGUACUCCGGGGAUAACAGGCUGAUACCGCCCAAGAGUUCAUAUCGACGGCGGUGUUUGGCACCUCGAUGUCGGCUCAUCACAUCCUGGGGCUGAAGUAGGUCCCAAGGGUAUGGCUGUUCGCCAUUUAAAGUGGUACGCGAGCUGGGUUUAGAACGUCGUGAGACAGUUCGGUCCCUAUCUGCCGUGGGCGCUGGAGAACUGAGGGGGGCUGCUCCUAGUACGAGAGGACCGGAGUGGACGCAUCACUGGUGUUCGGGUUGUCAUGCCAAUGGCACUGCCCGGUAGCUAAAUGCGGAAGAGAUAAGUGCUGAAAGCAUCUAAGCACGAAACUUGCCCCGAGAUGAGUUCUCCCUGACUCCUUGAGAGUCCUGAAGGAACGUUGAAG
rnacentral:rRNA from 1 species